rnacentral:rRNA from 1 species
CUACGGGAGGCAGCAGUGGGGAAUAUUCGGCAAUGGACGAAAGUCUUACCGAGCGACGCCGCGUGGAUGAAGAAGGUCUUCGGAUUGUAAAGUCCUGUCUUCAGGGACGAAAUGCCCGUUAAGGGAGCUGACGGUACCUGAGGAGGAAGCCCCGGCUAACUACGUGCCAGCAGCCGCGGUAAUACGUAGGGGGCGAGCGUUGUCCGGAUUUAUUGGGCGUAAAGGGCGCGUAGGCGGCUUAUUAAGUCUGGUGUGAAAGCCCGAGGCUCAACCUCGGUAAGCACUGGAAACUGGUAAGCUUGAGUACUGGAGAGGGUCGUGGAAUUCCCAGUGUAGCAGUGAAAUGCGUAGAGAUUGGGAGGAACACCAGUGGCGAAGGCGGCGACCUGGACAGAUACUGACGCUGAGGCGCGAAAGCUGGGGGAGCAAACGGGAUUAGAUACCCCGGU